AGGACAACGGGUUGAUAUUCCCGUACCGGCAUUAACACGACCCUGACGAACCGGGUAAUGCUAAGCGCCUGAAACUUCGGAUUCCUUCGGGAUGAAGAAGCGGAGCGCGCGAACCGAACCAGUAGUAGUCAAGCAAUGGGGUGACGCAGGAAGGUAACCCAACCCAGGCGAUGGUUGACCUGGGGUAAGGAUGUAGGGCGAGAUGUAGGCAAAUCCGCAUCUCACGUGCCUGAGAUCUGACGCCGAGCCGAUUCAGGUGAAGUGGGUAAUCCUAUGCUGCCAAGAAAAGCCUCUAGCGAGUGUUAAAGCCGCCCGUACCCCAAACCGACACAGGUGGUCAGGUAGAGAAUACUAAGGCGAUCGAGAUAACUAUGGUUAAGGAACUCGGCAAAAUGCCCCCGUAACUUCGGGAGAAGGGGGGCCCGUUCUGGUGAGGAGAUUUACUCUCCGAGCUGGGAUUGGCCGCAGAGACCAGGCCCAAGCGACUGUUUACUAAAAACACAGGUCCAUGCUAAGUCGCAAGACGCUGUAUAUGGACUGACGCCUGCCCGGUGCUGGAACGUUAAGGGGACGGGUUAGCGACUUCGGUCGCGAAGCUCAGAACUUAAGCGCCAGUAAACGGCGGUGGUAACUAUAACCAUCCUAAGGUAGCGAAAUUCCUUGUCGGGUAAGUUCCGACCUGCACGAAUGGCGUAACGACUUGGGCGCUGUCUCAACCGUAGACUCGGCGAAAUUGCACUACGAGUAAAGAUGCUCGUUACGCGCGGCAGGACGGAAAGACCCCGGGACCUUUACUACAGCUUGGUAUUGGUGGUCGAUUCGAUUUGUGUAGGAUAGGUGGGAGACUGUGAACUUCGGACGCCAGUUCGAAGGGAGUCAUCGUUGAAGUACCACUCUGAUCGUAUUGGCUGUCUAACCUAGAUCCGUAAUCCGGAUCAGGGACAGUGCCUGGUGGGUAGUUUAACUGGGGCGGUUGCCUCCUAAAAUGUAACGGAGGCGCUCAAAGGUUCCCUCAGCCUGGUUGGCAAUCAGGUAUCGAGUGUAAGUGCACAAGGGAGCUUGACUGUGAGACUGACGGGUCGAGCAGGGACGAAAGUCGGAACUAGUGAUCCGGCGCUGGCAAGUGGAAGCGGCGUCGCUCAACGGAUAAAAGGUACCCCGGGGAUAACAGGCUGAUCUUGCCCAAGAGUCCAUAUCGACGGCAUGGUUUGGCACCUCGAUGUCGGCUCGUCGCAUCCCGGGGCUGGAGUAGGUCCCAAGGGUUGGGCUGUUC
rnacentral:rRNA from 1 species